rnacentral:lncRNA from 1 species
AAAAUCUACAUCUUGACAAAGAAACAGAUGGGGUUUCUUGUCCACACAGACUUUCUGUCUCCUGAACAUCAGCUGGAGAUGAUUCUUGAAGAAGAGAAAGAAUUAUAAGAGGAGAGAGGAGACACUCCAUAUGAUUCCUCCUCGUCUUUCUACGGCACUUAACACUUGAAGAACAAAGGAAACAGCAUCAGACUGGGGAAGGGUUCCUGACUGAAAGAGAUUCAGCCAAUGCACAGAAUGCUUUCAAAGUACGGCUUAGUAUCAAAACAGCUUUGGGAGAUAAUGCAGUAAGUAAAGUAUCUUCAUGUAUUCUUUCUGACUGAAUAACUGACUAAGUAUAG